AGUGAACGCUGGCGGUAGGCCUAACACAUGCAAGUCGAACGGCAGCACAGUAAGAGCUUGCUCUUACGGGUGGCGCGUGGCGGACGGGUGAGGAAUACAUCGGAAUCUACUUUUUCGUGGGGGAUAACGUAGGGAAACUUACGCUAAUACCGCAUACGACCUACGGGUGAAAGCAGGGGAUCUUCGGACCUUGCGCGAUUGAAUGAGCCGAUGUCGGAUUAGCUAGUUGGCGGGGCAAAGGCCCACCAAGGCGACGAUCCGUAGCUGGUCUGACAGGGAGAACAGACACACGGGAAGUGAGACUGAGCCCCGACACCGAGGGGAAGAAGCAGUGGAGAAUAUUGGGCGAAGGGGCAAAGGCGGAUCUUGGAAUAUCGCGGAAGUGAAGAAGGCGUUAGGGUGGGAAAGCGCUUUUGUUGGGAAAGAAAAGCAGCAGGUUAAUCCCCCGCUAUUCUGACGGUACCCGAAGAAUAAGCACCGGCUAACUUCGUG
rnacentral:rRNA from 1 species